AUGAUGGAAGAAGCUGAAGCCUCUUUGCAAGUUUUGCGUGGUUUCAAUACGGAUAUUCCGUUGAAAUUAAUGACAUCAAGAGAGUCCGUAGAAUCAUCAAGGAAGAAAACAACGAUUCAAUUUGCAGAUCUCAGGCGGAGAAGAUAUUGGUAUCCUUUGAUGAUAGGGAUUGGAUUACUUGUGCUUCAGCAACUCAGUGGUAUCAAUGCCGUUUUAUUCUAUUCCAGUAAUAUAUUUGAAGAGCCGGGGUCUCAUCUAGCAACGCUGCGACAUUUGGGCUUGGUUGAUUCAGGU